rnacentral:sRNA from 1 species
AUAGAUGCAUCAUUUUGCUGCCUUUACACUUUUCAGGGGGUUCCCAUGUGACCAGGUGGCCGGGCUUCUACAUCCUGCAGUGGAAAUUCCACAGCAUGCCUGCGUGCGCCGCCAGCAGCCUUCCCCGGGUGGACGACGUGCUCGCGUCCCUGCAGGUCUCUUCGCACAAGUGUAAAGUGAUGUACUACACCGAGGUGAUCGGCUCGGAGGAUUUCAGAGGUUCCAUGACGAGCCUGGAGUCCAGCCACAGCGGCUUCUCCCAGCUGAGUGCCGCCACCACCUCCUCCAGCCAGUCCCACUCCAGCUCCAUGAUCUCCAGGUAGUGCCGCGCUGCCUGCACCUAGUGUGCAGAGGGGACGGCCGCCCCUCCUCGGACAGCCAGCUGCACCCGCCCACCCAGCGGCGACAUUGUACAGACUCCUCUCACCUCUAGAUAGCAAAUAGCUCUCAGAUGGUAAACGUAGUCGUUUGAUCCCAAAACUACCUUGGCAGGUAGUUUUAACUCUGAUCCUAACUUAACUCAAUAGCCAUAGAUUUUGUAUACGUUGUGCACAAAAUCCAACCAGAGCGCAAGGGCUCUCUUGAAAGAAAAGUAGUUUCUGUACCAAUUAAAGGAUUGACGUGGUCUCAGAUAUUGAUGCAAAAAA